ACUGAGCCACCCAGUUAUGGUGCCAUGAAUUGGACAAAAUUAAAUUCGUUCUUGGACCCCUGGAGCCUCUCCUCCAGGACCCCAGGUGUACGCUUCUGAAGACUUGGUUUCACUCCUGACUGAUUAGGGAUCCAAUCGUUGUCCUGCAAGCUGAUGCUGGAUGAUGGGUGACCUUUAAGCCUGGAGCUGCUGCUGUGUAGGCCAAUCAGAAGGUUUACGGCAAGAGCCACAUCUUCCUUGCUCUGCUCUAGAAAAUAAGCAUGACCCUGAUAUUAUACCAUCACUGAAGACAUUCAGACUGCAAUCUAGGAAAUCUACCAGAUCACCCCCGUUUCCUCACUUCACCCAAAGAUGCUUCAAGCCCAGCAUCUAGAAAUCUCAACUGGCCACCCUCUGGACUCAGAAACUGGGCUUACAGUCUGCUUCAACCUUAGUCUUUAUUUUUCUUUUUAUUUUCAUAGAAAUUUCUCACAUUUAAUGCCUGAUUAUUUGUACUCUCCAGUAAAUACCCUCUACUCCCAAGUUCUAACAGAUGGUUCAGCUGGUCCUUAAUAACAAAAGGAGACUGAGCAAGAGAUGGACUUAAAAUUGUUCAAAGGAAAGAAGAAUGUCUCUAUUUUCUUGAUUAGGAGGAGUGGCUGACAAAGAUUCUCAGGCCUCAGUCUUGGCUGUGUCCUUCUUUGGCAUGCCCAGUCCAGUUUUAAUAAGAAUCCUGCUAAGUAAGUUUAUCAAGAGUACCCCCAGCAUUGAUAUCUAAUCACCUCCCCUCGCCCCGUGUCUGGUCAAGUCCCUCAUCCCUCACCAUUGAUGUUUAAAUCCAUGCCCAGCCUUUUGCAGGAAUCCUCUUAAAAAAGAAUCCCAGUGCUCUUGAUAUCUCCUGUCAGUAGUUUUCCAUGCACUGACCCCCAACUCUGCAUGCUUGUCUUUUUUGUAUUGGAAGUUGAGUCUGAUCUCUCUUCUGUUGCAAUAGAGUCAGCCCCAAUUGCAACAGUCUUGAAUACAGUCUCCUUUACCAUUUUACAUGUGUCAGAAUAUUUUUUUUCUUUAACAGACACAUCAAGAAAAGGGGGUUCCUUACUUGGUAUACGAGCCACAAGAGACAUUAAAAUCAGCAUCUCCUCUUUAAAGGUCAUUUUGUCCUACCUCCCACAAGUUUUGGAAUCCCUUAGACCUCAACUUGUAACUCAGUACAUCAUCCCUUCCCCUGACUUUUGGCUGCUUAACACAUUUCAUGGUAAUCACUAAUUCAUCACAUGGAACUGAAUAAGAACCAUUUAAUAUGAUUAUCUUCUCCAUUAAAGCUGUCAUCAUAAUUAGAGCUGCAGUGAACUGUUUGCCAGGAAUUAUAAUUUCUGCCAAGAAAAACUUGGGUGUCAUUUUAGAAAAAUUCUUAGGUGGGGGAGGAGGAGAUCAGGACCAUCUGUGUUGGGAUCCAAAGCUAAAUAAUGAGAAAUAAAGCCCCCUUCCCUUGCUAUCUGCCAAACCCUGGCCAGCCCUCCAACCGGACCUUGCCAAAGACUUCAGAGUGAAUCAACUUCCAAGGUAGUCCAAAGAGCACACCCUCUCAGGGAAUGAUAGACUGGAAAAGUCACCCUUUAGGAAGAGAAAAAAGACAGCAGCAAAUAAAAAUUAGGCCUCAUGCGCAAGGCUUCCGAAAAGUUGUUCCAAAUGGUUUUGUUUGCCACCCUACUGUUUCCAGGGCAACCACCUAAGCCAGGACAGAAGUAGAAGGAGACAUGAAGCUAGAAUGGGACCACCCACUGCAAUUCUCAUUUUAUCCUGAUGGCAAGAACCUUUAUAUCGACUCAAAGUGUUUGUCAGGCCUCUUGCUGUGAAUCACUAGAAUAACAUUUUGCCCUGAUGGAAGUGUGUCACAGCCUGCUGCUCCCACAUCCCUCCAUACUGAGGUGUUUUUAAAUGGAACCAAAUAUCCCUGGGGAAUUUUCUCUGUACUACUAGCAUUGCUUUGUUGCACAUUUCUAGAUUACACACUGUAAAUUAUAGAUAAAAUACAUUAUGCUAAUUUCCUUCUGCAUAUCUUUUAGUUAUUUUUAGGAGAAGUGUCUUUGAAAUUCAGCCUUUCAGGUAUAUGUUCAAAAUGAAGAGAAAAAUAAAACCAAGGGAGAGGGAUGCUCAAGACUAAGACUGCAGCCACAUCACAGUCUGGCACUUUGUCCCACGCAUAACUCGUGUCCAGCAAGGAUUUUUAGCUGCAGAAAGGAGAAGAAGCCCUGCCUCAUUAGAUUUGGGUAUGUCGUCCGGUUCUGCAAGUUUCUGGCCAUGCGACUUUGGAGGAAUUUAGGUUGUUUCUUUAAGUCUGAGUUUCGUCAUCUAUGAAAUAAGAAAUGUUCAUCAAGAUUUCCAAGGUGACUUCCACUUCUCACACUGUACGACAGUACGCGUGGACCAGAGUAAAAUGCCCUCAAAUCACAUAGAGCAGAUUAUAUUGAGCAUCUUUAAAAAGAAACAAUCUACUCAACCUGUGAACAUUAAAAAAUUCAGUAGCUCUGAAACUCUCUGAACCCACAAUCUUCAUGAUCUUUUACUGCACUCGGUGUUGCCAAUUUUUUUUCUGCUGUGCUGGACAUCUCUCAUUUGGAUGGACUUUCCUCAGAUAGACUCUCCAUUGUUCACCACCAUGGAAGGUUGUCUUGUGAGGGCUACAACACAGGCUCUUGUCGCCUGACUUCCAGGCAGAUUCAGUGAAUGGGCAGGAAAAUGGAAGGUGGGCAGAGUGUGAGGUUGUCCCCUCCCCGAUCCCCGCCUGUGAGGUUGCUGUGUGCUAGCUUCAUGCCUCAACCAAAGGUCGCAGCUCCUGGAAGACAUCUUCUCUACGUAACUCCUAGUCUGUUUGGGCUGCAGUAACAAAAUGGCAUAGACUAGGUGGCUUAUAAGCAAAAGAAACUUAUUUCUUCCAGGUCUGGGGGUGGAAGUCUGGGAUUAGGGCGCUGACAGAUUUGGUGUUGGGUGAGAACCCACUCCCUGGCUGUAGAAUGCUGACUUCUUGCCAUACCCUUAUGUGAUGGAAAAGGGCAAGAGAGCUCUCUGGGAUCUCUUUUAUAAGGGCACCAGUUCCAUUCCUGAGGGCUUUGCCCUCAUGACCUAAUUGCUUCCCAAAGGCCUCAUCCUCUAAUAUCUUCAUAUUGGGCAUUAGAAUUUCAACACUGUUAAUUUGGGGGAACCACAAACAUUCAGUCUAUAACAGACUCUUUCCUCUUGCUACUUCAGGUCUAGGGGCAGUGCAUAACCCUGUGGUUCUCUAUGCUCUGUGCAUAUCUUUAAAAAUUGGUCUUUUUCAAGUUUGAAUGAACUAUCUGUUGCCGUCCAGUGUCUUGACUGAUAAACUCAGUUUUUUGAGAUGCAAGUAUUACAAGAUUGGAAAGGCCAUGGUACUUUUUAUUUCAGUGUAUUAAUUCACCUUGAAUACAUAUUUUUCCCCCUAUAGUUGUGACUCUAUGAAAAGAUGAGAAUCUCUAUGUAGUGCUGCUUGGUUAUGUUGUACUUGACUUCUAUAUGUGCUUGUAUUAGAUAGGAGUCAGAAGCAGGUAAUAGGGGCCAGUCUAGUAAUUAAACAGAAAAGGAUUGGAUGCAAGGAAUUGGAUGUUCACAAUUAGAAGGGCUAGAGGAAUAGGCUCUAGGCUAGGCUUUAAGGAAUGACUUCCAGAAGACUACCACAGAGCUGACCUGUCUCUACAACAUUCUGGAAGCUGGGGAAUCAAGAAACCCAUGUGUCACCUGCCACCUUCAAUGUCUUACUACCUCUGCCAAUUCAGGAAUCAGAAAGUGGUAGCCUUAGUUGUUGGCCCCAAACCUUAUUUACCUGAUUUGCACCAUCAGGAUGAAGGCCUACCUUCCCUCCUACUUGAUUUAGUUCUAAAUUCAGUUUUCACGUAAGUACACAUAAUUGGUGGAGGCUCAGUCAUAUUCCUAGUUGCAAAUGAGUACAGGAAAUGUCAGUUUUAGCUUUCUGGCCUCUAUAAUAUGGGAAGGCAUAGUAGAAGGAGAUUGGGAUGAGUUCUAAGCAAGUCAGUCUAUUCUCCAUCACAAGAUUAUUUCUGAAAGCAUGCUUUAAAUACCAUGUCCCCCAAAAACGUGAGCUUUGGAGAUUAAGAAAACAGAGAGACUAGAAUGAAAACCUCUGCUUCAGGACUUACUGGCUGUAUGACCGUGGGCAGUAUGUACUUAAUACUACUAGGGCUAUUUUUCAUCUGUGCAAUAGGAAUAAUAAUGCCUACCUCCCAGAAUUGCCAUUCAUUAAUCCAUCUCUAUAUACAGAUUUUUGUUGAUUGUUAUAUAAUUAUCAGGAAUUUUUAGUUGGAAAUGACAAAUCUUAAUUGAUUGGUUAAGUGAAAAAAAAAUUUUGUU